GACAGAGGUGCCGAGCGUUAGGCGGAAUCACUGGGCUUAAAGCGUGUGUAGGCGGAUCGUUAAGUAUCUUGUGAAAUCCCACGGCUCAACCGUGGAACUGCUGGGUAUACUGGCGAUCUUGAGCAACCUAGGGGCAGACGGAACAAGUGGUGGAGCGGUGAAAUGCGUAGAUAUCACUUGGAACGCCGACGGUGAAAGCAGUCUGCUGGGGGUUUGCUGACGCUGAGACACGAAAGCCAGGGGAGCGAACGGG
rnacentral:rRNA from 1 species